rnacentral:rRNA from 1 species
CCUUCACUACGGAAUAGCCUCUGGAAACGGAGAGUAAUACCGUAUGCGCCCUUCGGGGAAAGAUUUAUCGGUGAAGGAUUAGCCCGCGUCUGAUUAGAUAGUUGGUGGGGUAACGGCCUACCAAGUCGACGAUCAGUAGCUGGUUUGAGAGGAUGAUCAGCAACACUGGGACUGAGACACGGCCCAGACUCCUACGGGAGGCAGCAGUGGGGAAUCUUAGACAAUGGGCGCAAGUGAUCUAGCCAUGCCGCGUGAGUGACGAAGGCCUUAGGGUCGUAAAGCUCUUUCGCCAGGGAUGAUAAUGACAGUACCUGGUAAAGAAACCCCGGCUAACUCCGUGCCAGCAGCCGCGGUAAUACGGAGGGGGUUAGCGUUGUUCGGAAUUACUGGGCGUAAAGCGCGCGUAGGGGAUUGGAAAGUUGGGGGUGAAAUCCCGGGGCUCAACCCCGAACUGCCUUUGAUACUGUCAGUCUUGAGUUCGAGAGAGGUGAGUGGAAUUCCGAGUGUAGAGGUGAAAUUCGUAGAUAUUCGGAGGAACACCAGUGGCGAA